rnacentral:rRNA from 1 species
GAUGAACGCUGGCGGCGUGCCUAAUACAUGCAAGUCGAGCGAACAGACGAGGAGCUUGCUCCUCUGACGUUAGCGGCGGACGGGUGAGUAACACGUGGAUAACCUACCUAUAAUACUGGGAUAACUUCGGGAAACCGGAGCUAAUACCGGAUAAUAUAUUGAACCGCAUGGUUCAAUAGUGAAAGACGGUUUUGCUGUCAGUUAGAGAUGGAUCCGCGCCGGAUUAGCUAGUUGGUAAGGUAACGGCUUACCAAGGCAACGAUGCGUAGCCGACCUGAUAGGGUGAUCGGCCACACUGGAACUGAGACACGGUCCAGACUCCUACGGGAGGCAGCAGUAGGGAAUAUUCCGCAAUGGGCGAAAGCCUGACGGAGCAACGCCGCGUGAGUGAUGAAGGUCUUCGGAUCGUAAAACUCUGUUAUUAGGGAAGAACAAAUGUGUAAGUAACUAUGCACGUCUUGACGGUACCUAAUCAGAAAGCCACGGCUAACUACGUG